GGUUAAGCGACUAAGCGUACACGGUGGAUGCCCUGGCAGUCAGAGGCGAUGAAGGACGUGCUAAUCUGCGAUAAGCGUCGGUAAGGUGAUAUGAACCGUUAUAACCGGCGAUUUCCGAAUGGGGAAACCCAGUGUGAUUCGUCACACUAUCAUUAACUGAAUCCAUAGGUUAAUGAGGCGAACCGGGGGAACUGAAACAUCUAAGUACCCCGAGGAAAAGAAAUCAACCGAGAUUCCCCCAGUAGCGGCGAGCGAACGGGGAGCAGCCCAGAGCCUGAAUCAGUGUGUGUGUUAGUGGAAGCGUCUGGAAAGGCGCGCGAUACAGGGUGACAGCCCCGUACACAAAAAUGCACAUACUGUGAGCUCGAUGAGUAGGGCGGGACACGUGGUAUCCUGUCUGAAUAUGGGGGGACCAUCCUCCAAGGCUAAAUACUCCUGACUGACCGAUAGUGAACCAGUACCGUGAGGGAAAGGCGAAAAGAACCCCGGCGAGGGGAGUGAAAAAGAACCUGAAACCGUGUACGUACAAGCAGUGGGAGCACGCUUAGGCGUGUGACUGCGUACCUUUUGUAUAAUGGGUCAGCGACUUAUAUUCUGUAGCAAGGUUAACCGAAUAGGGGAGCCGAAGGGAAACCGAGUCUUAACUGGGCGUUAAGUUGCAGGGUAUAGACCCGAAACCCGGUGAUCUAGCCAUGGGCAGGUUGAAGGUUGGGUAACACUAACUGGAGGACCGAACCGACUAAUGUUGAAAAAUUAGCGGAUGACUUGUGGCUGGGGGUGAAAGGCCAAUCAAACCGGGAGAUAGCUGGUUCUCCCCGAAAGCUAUUUAGGUAGCGCCUCGUGAAUUCAUCUCCGGGGGUAGAGCACUGUUUCGGCAAGGGGGUCAUCCCGACUUACCAACCCGAUGCAAACUGCGAAUACCGGAGAAUGUUAUCACGGGAGACACACGGCGGGUGCUAACGUCCGUCGUGAAGAGGGAAACAACCCAGACCGCCAGCUAAGGUCCCAAAGUCAUGGUUAAGUGGGAAACGAUGUGGGAAGGCCCAGACAGCCAGGAUGUUGGCUUAGAAGCAGCCAUCAUUUAAAGAAAGCGUAAUAGCUCACUGGUCGAGUCGGCCUGCGCGGAAGAUGUAACGGGGCUAAACCAUGCACCGAAGCUGCGGCAGCGACGCUUAUGCGUUGUUGGGUAGGGGAGCGUUCUGUAAGCCUGCGAAGGUGUACUGUGAGGUAUGCUGGAGGUAUCAGAAGUGCGAAUGCUGACAUAAGUAACGAUAAAGCGGGUGAAAAGCCCGCUCGCCGGAAGACCAAGGGUUCCUGUCCAACGUUAAUCGGGGCAGGGUGAGUCGACCCCUAAGGCGAGGCCGAAAGGCGUAGUCGAUGGGAAACAGGUUAAUAUUCCUGUACUUGGUGUUACUGCGAAGGGGGGACGGAGAAGGCUAUGUUGGCCGGGCGACGGUUGUCCCGGUUUAAGCGUGUAGGCUGGUUUUCCAGGCAAAUCCGGAAAAUCAAGGCUGAGGCGUGAUGACGAGGCACUACGGUGCUGAAGCAACAAAUGCCCUGCUUCCAGGAAAAGCCUCUAAGCAUCAGGUAACAUCAAAUCGUACCCCAAACCGACACAGGUGGUCAGGUAGAGAAUACCAAGGCGCUUGAGAGAACUCGGGUGAAGGAACUAGGCAAAAUGGUGCCGUAACUUCGGGAGAAGGCACGCUGAUAUGUAGGUGAAGUCCCUCGCGGAUGGAGCUGAAAUCAGUCGAAGAUACCAGCUGGCUGCAACUGUUUAUUAAAAACACAGCACUGUGCAAACACGAAAGUGGACGUAUACGGUGUGACGCCUGCCCGGUGCCGGAAGGUUAAUUGAUGGGGUUAGCGCAAGCGAAGCUCUUGAUCGAAGCCCCGGUAAACGGCGGCCGUAACUAUAACGGUCCUAAGGUAGCGAAAUUCCUUGUCGGGUAAGUUCCGACCUGCACGAAUGGCGUAAUGAUGGCCAGGCUGUCUCCACCCGAGACUCAGUGAAAUUGAACUCGCUGUGAAGAUGCAGUGUACCCGCGGCAAGACGGAAAGACCCCGUGAACCUUUACUAUAGCUUGACACUGAACAUUGAGCCUUGAUGUGUAGGAUAGGUGGGAGGCUUUGAAGUGUGGACGCCAGUCUGCAUGGAGCCGACCUUGAAAUACCACCCUUUAAUGUUUGAUGUUCUAACGUUGACCCGUGAUCCGGGUUGCGGACAGUGUCUGGUGGGUAGUUUGACUGGGGCGGUCUCCUCCUAAAGAGUAACGGAGGAGCACGAAGGUUGGCUAAUCCUGGUCGGACAUCAGGAGGUUAGUGCAAUGGCAUAAGCCAGCUUGACUGCGAGCGUGACGGCGCGAGCAGGUGCGAAAGCAGGUCAUAGUGAUCCGGUGGUUCUGAAUGGAAGGGCCAUCGCUCAACGGAUAAAAGGUACUCCGGGGAUAACAGGCUGAUACCGCCCAAGAGUUCAUAUCGACGGCGGUGUUUGGCACCUCGAUGUCGGCUCAUCACAUCCUGGGGCUGAAGUAGGUCCCAAGGGUAUGGCUGUUCGCCAUUUAAAGUGGUACGCGAGCUGGGUUUAGAACGUCGUGAGACAGUUCGGUCCCUAUCUGCCGUGGGCGCUGGAGAACUGAGGGGGGCUGCUCCUAGUACGAGAGGACCGGAGUGGACGCAUCACUGGUGUUCGGGUUGUCAUGCCAAUGGCACUGCCCGGUAGCUAAAUGCGGAAGAGAUAAGUGCUGAAAGCAUCUAAGCACGAAACUUGCCCCGAGAUGAGUUCUCCCUGACUCCUUGAGAGUCCUGAAGGAACGUUGAAGACGACGACGUUGAUAGGCCGGGUGUGUAAGCGCAGCGAUGCGUUGAGCUAACCGGUACUAAUGAACCGUGAGGCUUAACCUU
rnacentral:rRNA from 1 species